GUUGAAGAGAAAGCAGGUGCGAGAAAUUUGGCUCCUGGAAGGAAGCACCAGACAUCAGCAAGAAAGGUUUCCCAUGAUCAACUAUAUUGCAUCAAACCUCAGGCUGGACCUUAUUGUCGAAGUCGGAUUGUGCAGUCCUCACAGAAGGUGAGAGAGGUGGCCAGGCUAUGCUGCUUCUUGCCCAGGUAAGAUAAGAGAGGAAACCACCUGGAGAAUAAAA